rnacentral:tRNA from 1 species
CGCUACGGACUUAAAAUCCGUCGACUUUUAAAAUCGUGAGGGUUCAA